GCAGCCGCGGUAAUACGGAGGGGGUUAGCGUUGUUCGGAAUUACUGGGCGUAAAGCGCGCGUAGGCGGACAUUUAAGUCAGAGGUGAAAUCCCAGGGCUCAACCCUGGAACUGCCUUUGAUACUGGGUGUCUUGAGUUCGAGAGAGGUGAGUGGAAUUCCGAGUGUAGAGGUGAAAUUCGUAGAUAUUCGGAGGAACACCAGUGGCGAAGGCGGCUCACUGGCUCGAUACUGACGCUGAGGUGCGAAAGUGUGGGGAGCAAACAGGAUUAGAUACCCUGGUAGUCCACACCGUAAACGAUGAAUGCCAGUCGUCGGGCAGUAUACUGUUCGGUGACACACCUAACGGAUUAAGCAUUCCGCCUGGGGAGUACGGUCGCAAGAUUAAAACUCAAAGGAAUUGACGG
rnacentral:rRNA from 1 species